UACGGAGGAUCCGAGCGUUAUCCGGAUUUAUUGGGUUUAAAGGGUGCGCAGGCGGGAAAUUAAGUCGGCGUGAAAUUUUGCAGCUCAACUGUAAAAGUGCCUUCGAAACUGGUUUCCUUGAGUGUAGAUGAAGUAGGCGGAAUUUGUGGUGUAGCGGUGAAAUGCAUAGAUAUCACGAGGAACUCCGAUUGCGCAGGCAGCUUACUAAACUACUACUGACGCUCAGGCACGAAGGCGUGGGGAUCAAACAGGAUUAGAUACCCGGGUAGUCCCU
rnacentral:rRNA from 1 species